CCCAGCAAGGAGAAGGGGUGGAGGCUCGGAAGGAUAUGAGACCUCCCAUUGGCUGGGAGGGGGCGUGAUUAUAUUUGAACCCGCCCCCUGGGCCAGGCUGGAUAAAGCUGGAAGGAUCCUUGGAGAGCAUCAAGCCCGGCUCUCUCCGCUUACUGAUAAGAAGCAGGCCCAGAGUGGUCCGCAGACCACCGCUUGGCGACCCCUGCUCCACACUGUACUUGGCAUCGCAUCACUGCCCUGCUUAUCAAACCUCCCAGGGGUGAACCACUGGCCACGGGAUCAAGUCACAGCUUCUUAACAGGCAUUCCAGCCCAUCCAAGCCUGUUCCUCCUUCAAAGCCAAGUCCAAAUGCCAUCUCCUCAACGAUGUCUUCUUCCCUGACUGUCCCGACUUCUCACCUCAGGCAGGGUCAUCGCUGUUCCGUAACGAGGCCCCUCUUCUGGCUGCUCUUUCUAGGAAGAGCCAUAUUGCAGAAGGACCUGCCAGGAGGGGGCAGUACACAACCGAAGAAAGGUCUCCCAAAGGUCAAGGUCACCAGGGUGCCUGCAGCCCCUCACAGGCCCGUAGGUGUGCACCCCUCCAGUGUGGCUGUCUGUGGGAAUACGGGGUUCCACCUUGGCAGGCCCCCCUCCCUGUGCCUCCUUUGCAUCACUGUAAAAUCAGAGGGUUGGACCAGUUCAGUGUUUCUGGAAGUGUGGUGACGCACAAAGUAACAUCAGGAGAUAAAUAG